rnacentral:rRNA from 1 species
AUUGAACGCUGGCGGCAUGCCUUACACAUGCAAGUCGAACGGUAACGGGCCUUCGGGUGCCGACGAGUGGCGAACGGGUGAGUAAUGCAUCGGAACGUACCUUUCAGUGGGGGAUAACGUAGCGAAAGUUACGCUAAUACCGCAUAUUCUGUGAGCAGGAAAGCAGGGGAUCGCAAGACCUUGCGCUGAUUGAGCGGCCGAUGUCAGAUUAGCUAGUUGGUGAGGUAAAGGCUCACCAAGGCGACGAUCUGUAGCGGGUCUGAGAGGAUGAUCCGCCACACUGGAACUGAGACACGGUCCAGACUCCUACGGGAGGCAGCAGUGGGGAAUUUUGGACAAAUGGGGGCAACCCUGAUCCAGCCAUGCCGCGUGAGUGAAG